GGAAAAGACUGAGCGCCAGUCGUCGCCUUUCGCCGUGAGAAGUUCGCGUUUCUUCUGCCGCGAGCAUGCGCGGCGCCACUAGUCAUCUUCCAACACUUGAAUUUAGUCGAUAAGUAACUUCAGUAUUAUAUGCAGUAGGGUGUCAGUUUGAAGUCCAAAAAAAAAUUCUCAAGCCAGAAUCAGCGGUCAGUCUGUUAUCAUUAUCAUCCAGAUAGCCAGGUCGCCGCUUCAACCAGUUAAAGGCAAUUUGACGCAGAGUUUACGUGUCGCGGAUUUAGUGAAAAAGUCGUUUCGAAACUUUCGUUGGAAUUAAAGUUCUGCAUACAAUAAAAUGGCGGCGUUGUAUGAAAUGGCGACUGAACGCGAAUCUAACCUCGA